rnacentral:rRNA from 1 species
GAGACACAUAUACACAAUCGCACGUAAGGGAGAGAAGGGAAAAGUCAGUGCUCUAAAGCAACCCCUGUAUGGAAAAGUUAGAAAGAAAUUGGGUGCAAGACUGGCCCAGCCGCCGCGGAACACCAGCGCCACAGGUGGAACCACGAAAAAUGGGGCAAAAACGCGGUAGCCGGAAGGUAAACUCUUGUGAAAUCGCCAUGCUUAACGUGACGGCGUGCUCGGGACACUGUUUACCUUGAGACCGGGGGGGGCCAGAGGUAUUCCAUGGGGAGCGGAAAAAUGUGAUAAUCCCUGGGGAACACCUAUGGCGAAGGCAUCUGACCAGAACGGAUCUGACGGUGAGGGAGGAAGGUUUUUUUGAGCGAUCCGGAUUAGAUACCCGAGAAGCCCUAGCGGUGAACGCUGCGAGCAACAUGUUGCGCUCCAUAAAAGAAUGCGCAGUGUCAAAAAAAGUCGUUAAGCUCCCCGCUUGGAAAGAACGGUCGCAAGACUGAAACUUAAAGAAAUUUGGGGGGAAAAGGCCCAAUUCGUUUAACCCUGCGGGACUAGUCCUUUUGGUGGGGGUUAAUUCUGAGCUUGCGGAAAUCAGGGCAAAAGCUGUUUCCGGA